GCCAGCGGGGGGCGCUGCAGGCUGCGCCUCCGCUCCCCGGAGCCCCUCGGGUUCCUUCCUCCCUCCUCCUCUCAACUGUCAUUACGGUCGGGUCGAACCGGGGAACCAAGGCGAGAGACUCCGGCGCUUCUCAACCUCUAGAGGCGGCGCCGCUGCGGGCUUUGGUUCGGAGCCACCCUCACAGCAGGGGACAGACUGUGCGGAGAGCAGCGGGUUCCAGCAGCGAGAUGUCUACACAAAGCAAAACUAAAGCCUUCGAAGAAGAAGGAGCGGACAAAAAACGUGUGCGUCCACUGAGGAUGCUCACUUUUUGGAAAGCGAAGGACCCCCCCCCCCAAAACGUCACCUCCUCAGCGAUGGUACGACACACGGCCCUUCUGAACACCCCGUCUCAAAGCCCUCACGUUGAUCCGGCAUGGACAACCAACGAUGGCCACGCGGAACAGUUCCUCCUCCCUGAGUCAUACGGGGAAGACAGCGCCUCCCGUUAGACCCCGUUUCUCUAAGGCGGUCUGACCAACAGAGACGUGCUGCAGACCGAUAUGAAAGCCGAACCCCUCGAGCCCAACGUCCGGGGGCUCUGGUGAGAAACACAGGCCAAACAGAAUAUGUGCCAUGGGGACACCGGGACUUUGAGACCCUGGUAGCUUCUUUACCUCCACUGAAGAGGGGUGCGGACCCCUAGGUUCGACGGAUGGAAGAGCUCACGGCGAAAGACCAGCUGUCGCUCGGAGAGGUGCGCGCCUUGCUGCUCCGCGCCAAAGCUAAGCUAAACGAAAUAGAAGCUAUAACCGACACCGCCCACAGAGCUGACACAGAUUCUUUUAAUUCCCACCGAGGAAGGUACUGGCAGGCCCUGCGAAGCAUCUGGCCUACUCAACUGGACAAGUCCGCCCUCAUCGGGAUGGAGAAGAAAGCGGGGGAAGAAAUGUAUCGGUACCUGCAAAGAGCAGAGGAAGAAUGGCUUAGAGUCACAGGAGUGAGACACGACCGCGAUUAUUUCACCACCUGGUUUUGGCGUACCCAGGUGCAAAAAGGUUUGCCACAGCCGGUGCAGCAGAAGAAGUGGAGGAACUUAUAGGAGACAUGGAGGAUGCCUCGUGGAGAGGGCACCUCGCUCGACACGUCCAAAGACACCAGGCGAAGGAAGAGAGCAGCCAAGAAGAACUAAGGAAGCUGACAAUACAACUGCUAAGAAUGCAGGUAGCCGAAGCCAAUAAAAAGAAACACCAGGCCAAGAUGCAGAAGAAAGCAACAGAGGCCCAAGCAACCCAACAUGCCCAGAACACCCAGCCAGGAGCACCUGCAGAGCCGUCUCAGCCUUACCCAGUGGCCCCCGCCCAGCCAGCGUUUCGCUACCAACCUGCUCAACCGUAUGCAGACGGAGGACGAGGCUACGAUGGAGGAGCAUUCCAGGAAGGGUGGUACGGGCCACCGCACGACCCAGGAAGCAGAGACGGCUGCUACACAUGCGGCCAGAAAGGACACUGGUCCAGAACCUUCCCCAGAAGAUGAGGAUGAGGAAUCCGUCCUGACCAACAAGAUCGGUACUGAGGAGGCCCAAAUUGUUCUGCUUUUUUGUAUUUUCGUUUUCCUUUUUAGGGUAAUUUUGUUUCUCUCAGAACCAUUUAAUGCCAAAUAUGUUGCACAUAGAAGAAAUUUGUUUUGUUGUGACUGUGCAAACAACAAAAAAUACUAAACAAAGAUGCACACAAGUGCAUGGACAGGAGUAAUGUUCAAAUCUGAAAUAGUCCUGGGAGGCAUGGAAGACUUUUUGUCUUUGUCGUAUCUUUUUUUACAUUUUUUGUAUUUUUUUACGGUAUCAUUCUAUAUUUUUGUAUAGAAUAGGGGGGCCCGGUGAGGAUGAGCGCGACCUCCUUCAACCCGUAUUGUUCUAUCAGAGUACUCACUCUAGAGUACUGAAUGGGAACAGCAAAAAGCCUGGGCAUGAAAUAGAGCUUCUUGGCAUGGUCAGCCGUCUGGAAAUUCAACAAGCAAACCGUUUCAUUGGGUGAUUGAAUAUUAUAUUUGUUAUUCACACUGCCUGUACUGCGUUUGAUUUUGUAUUUUUUAAUGAAAUAAAAAGUUGAUUUUUAUUGAA